CAAAAAAUCAAUAGAUGGAAUCAGAACUCAAAAGUGUGCAAAUACAAAUAACACUCUGCAUGGUGAUAAUGCAGAAAAAACAUUUAUGGUUUAUAUAUUAUGAUGGAAUCAGUUAAAGAGGUUGUCUCACAAUUAUAUUAUCAUAAUAUUAAUAGGGGUGUGUGGAGCAGCAGUCCCAGGAGCUCUGGGGUGACGUACAGUUGUCAUGGCAACCAGGGGUCUAGUGAAGGCCCCCAAGCCUGCCAGUACUUCUAUUACACCCCGCAUAGGUAGUGUUUAGUAGAAUAACGGUUAGGGUGACAAUAUGUCAUCUUUUUCCCGCACAUGUCCUCUUUCUGGGACCUAAAAAAGUUGUCUGGCCGGGAUUUAUAAAUUAGCAAAAAUGUGGGGAAACGGGAAAGGGGGGGGCAGGUGAGCACUAUAAUGUGCUACAGUGCAAGAGCUGAAGGACCUGUGAUGAUGUCACCGUCAUGUGAUCAGUGUGGGCCGGGGGCAGAGUUCAUCAGUGGAGAGGAGAAGUGGUAAGGACCUGUGAUGAUGUCACCAUCAUGUGUUCAGGGCAGUCAGGGGCGGAGUUCAGCAGUGGAGAACCGGUGAGCCUGAGAAACCGUGGAAGUUGUAGUCCUCUCCUAUUAUACUGCCACUCUGAAUUGUUCACUGAUAUCCCAUAAUAAUGGCCUAGGUAUGCUUGGAGUUAUAGUCCUCUCCUAUUAUACUGCCUCUGUUAAUUGUCCUCUGAUAUCCCAUAAUAAUGGCCUAGGUAUGCUUGGAGUUAUAGUCCUCUCCUAUUAUACUGCCUCUCUGAAUUGUCUUCUGAUAUCCCAUAAUAACGGCCUGGACAGGCUGGGAGUUAUAAUGAAAGCACUAAUGUGUGUGCCGCAUAUGCAUAUCUCCAUUUGACAAAGUCUUGGCCCUGCGUGGAGCGGUGUAUUUUUUGACCAGUGCCUUGUAGUUGGAAAGCUCUAUGAUACUAUUUAGACCCUGGACUAGGCGAAAAUUAAUGUUUGGUCAUUUUGUAUUAUAAAUUAUGCUACCAUAAUAUUUUUAUGUUUUUUUUUUUAAUUUCCAAUAGACUAGAAAAUCCAAUAGACUAGAAAAUCAUAUCAGUCUGUACAUAAUCCGUAUAAUCAACAGUGAACAAUAAUCCGUUUAAAAAAAAAAACUUAGGUUUAUGGCCAAAUAUUGAAAACCCUUUAAGGAACAGAAAAAGUGGCAGGAAAGUAGGUGUACUUUACCAUCAUGACCCCAGGACAUGAGUACAUUUUCUAGUCCACAAUUAGGCUCAUAGAUCCCGUAUUCUGUGCUAAACAGGGAAAAUAUCAGAUAAGUUGCACUGUUUUCUGAUUACCUAUAUUGUACAAAGAAGAAUAUAAUAUCUGCUACUUUCAAGCCUCAAGCACACGAUUUUAUUUUUCAUCCAUGUGCUAUCCAAA